UCCCAUGAAUGGAGAAUCCCUGCCUCAAUAUUUUCACCAUUCUCUUCAAGCUACAACCUAUAACUAAAUUAAGCCUAUAACUAAACUAAUGCAUGCCGGUACUUCUUUCUUGGCCUCUAUAUUUUCACCAUUCUCCUCAAGUACUGGUUGAAAUCGAAAAUGGAGUGCGAUCGAAGAUAAUUGAAAUGGGCUGUGGAAAACAUCGUACAGGACAAGAAACUACGAGGAUGUGUAAGAAGAGACUGCUGAAAUGCUACUAUAUGAGAUUUCACCA